CCCCGGCUUGCUCAGUCGGUAGAGCAUGAGACUCUUAAUCUCAGCGUCGUGGGUUCAUGCCCCAGGUCAGGCG
rnacentral:tRNA from 1 species